CGCAUACGAUCUACGGAUGAAAGUGGGGGAUCGCAAGACCUCAUGCUCAUGGAGCGGCCGAUAUCUGAUUAGCUAGUUGGUGGGGUAAAAGCUCACCAAGGCGACGAUCAGUAGCUGGUCUGAGAGGACGACCAGCCACACUGGAACUGAGACACGGUCCAGACUCCUACGGGAGGCAGCAGUGGGGAAUUUUGGACAAUGGGCGCAAGCCUGAUCCAGCAAUGCCGCGUGAGUGAAGAAGGCCUUCGGGUUGUAAAGCUCUUUUGUCAGGGAAGAAACGGUUCGGGCUAAUAUCCUGGGCUAAUGACGGUACCUGAAGAAUAAGCACCGGCUAACUACGUGCCAGCAGCCGCGGUAAUACGUAGGGUGCAAGCGUUAAUCGGAAUUACUGGGCGUAAAGCGUGCGCAGGCGGUUGUGCAAGACAGAUGUGAAAUCCCCGGGCUCAACCUGGGAAUUGCAUUUGUGACUGCACGGCUAGAGUGUGUCAGAGGGGGGUAGAAUUCCACGUGUAGCAGUGAAAUGCGUAGAGAUGUGGAGGAAUACCGAUGGCGAAGGCAGCCCCCUGGGAUAACACUGACGCUCAUGCACGAAAGCGUGGGGAGCAAACAGGAUUAGAUACCCUGGUAGUCCACGCCCUAAACGAUGUCUACUAGUUGUCGGGUCUUAAUUGACUUGGUAACGCAGCUAACGCGUGAAGUAGACCGCCUGGGGAGUACGGUCGCAAGAUUAAAACUCAAAGGAAUUGACGGGGACCCGCACAAGCGGUGGAUGAUGUGGAUUAAUUCGAUGCAACGCGAAAAACCUUACCUACCCUUGACAUGUCUGGAAUCCUUGAGAGAUCAGGGAGUGCUCGAAAGAGAAUCAGAACACAGGUGCUGCAUGGCUGUCGUCAGCUCGUGUCGUGAGAUGUUGGGUUAAGUCCCGCAACGAGCGCAACCCUUGUCAUUAGUUGCUACGAAAGGGCACUCUAAUGAGACUGCCGGUGACAAACCGGAGGAAGGUGGGGAUGACGUCAAGUCCUCAUGGCCCUUAUGGGUAGGGCUUCACACGUCAUACAAUGGUACAUACAGAGGGCCGCCAACCCGCGAGGGGGAGCUAAUCCCAGAAAGUGUAUCGUAGUCCGGAUUGUAGUCUGCAACUCGACUACAUGAAGUUGGAAUCGCUAGUAAUCGCGGAUCAGCAUGUCGCGGUGAAUACGUUCCCGGGUCUUGUACACACCGCCCGUCACACCAUGGGAGCGGGUUUCACCAGAAGUGGGUAGCCUAACCGCAAGGAGGGCGCUCACCACGGUGGGAUUCGUGACUGGGGUGAAGUCGUAACAAGGUAGCCGUAUCGGAAGGUGCGGCUG
rnacentral:rRNA from 1 species